rnacentral:rRNA from 1 species
GACGAACGCUGGCGGCGUGCUUAACACAUGCAAGUCGAACGGAAAGGCCCUGCUUUUGUGGGGUGCUCGAGUGGCGAACGGGUGAGUAACACGUGAGUAACCUGCCCUUGACUUUGGGAUAACUUCAGGAAACUGGGGCUAAUACCGGAUAGGAGCUCCUGCUGCAUGGUGGGGGUUGGAAAGUUUCGGCGGUUGGGGAUGGACUCGCGGCUUAUCAGCUUGUUGGUGGGGUAGUGGCUUACCAAGGCUUUGACGGGUAGCCGGCCUGAGAGGGUGACCGGCCACAUUGGGACUGAGAUAAGGCCCAGACUCCUACGGGAGGCAGCAGUGGGGAAUAUUGCACAAUGGGCGGAAGCCUGAUGCAGCAACGCCGCGUGCGGGAUGACGGCCUUCGGGUUGUAAACCGCUUUCGCAUGUGACGAAGCGUGAGUGACGGUAAUGGGUAAAGAAGCACCGGCUAAAUACGUG